rnacentral:lncRNA from 1 species
GUCAAUGAGAGGCCUCCUUAGGGUCUUUGAACUCCUAAUCCUCCUGCCUCCAUCUCCCAAUGCUAGGAUUACAAGGGUGUGCCAGCAUGCUUACCAGAGAAGUCUUACUUAAAAGGUUUUCCUAUGCUCAGGAUAAUGCCCAGUGUCUCAACCGGCUUCCUGUGGCCUGCAAGAUAUAGAACUUUCAGCUACUACGCCAGCACCGUGUCUUCCUGCACACUGCUAUGUUCCCUGCCAUGUUGAUAGUGGACUGAACCUCUGAAACUGCACCAUGAUCUCCAGUUGUCCCAUAAUCCAAACCAGAUAAGCUGAAAUAGCUAAACAGAACAGAACAUGUAGCACCCGCAAACUACGCGUAACAGGAGAGAGCCACCAUCCUUCCAUUCCUGUUCGGAAAGUUCCAGCUAAGCCGAGUGUGACUAGUCACUCACAGCAGCAGUUUCUGAGGCAGGGGGCUGGCAGUAAGUUUUAUGUUAGGAGAAUCACAUCCUGGAAAGACAUAACAUUUCCAGACAUGUGGUGGUCGGGUCAUGUGAGGUCUGGGAUCAUCUGGAGCAGCGAGCUUCCGGGAAUGCUGCCUCCAGCAACUUUGCCUGGCAGACACCGGAACACAGCUCUUUCUGGAUUCAGGAAAGAAAACAAAGAGAGCAGAACAAAGAGUGAUGUGCUAGCUUCAAAGACCUGAGGGGAAAGAGCUUUUGUAAAACUACCCACCUCACUCUGCCACAG